rnacentral:lncRNA from 1 species
UGGACCUCGGAUCCGGAGGACUAGGAGCCCCGAGUGAGUUGACGGAGUCUGGGACAAGAAGGUUUUACAGGGCCGAGCAUCGAGCAUCGGAGGGGAAGAAGAAGGGGGUGGGGGGUGGGGGGGGAAGAAAAGGAAAAAAAAGAAAAAGAAAAAAGUUGGGGGCGUGGCCUAAGAGGAGGGCAGGGACUGGGACUGCUUCCCGGUAAGGCUUAGAGCUUUCUUUCUUGAGUAGGUGGGAGUUGCUGGAGUUCUUAUGGGGUCAGAACCCAUAGGGGGCAAGUCCUAAGGAGGAGAUGCCACAAAGGGGGGAAAUAUUCAUGCUCUGGCUAAUGGAGGGGAGUUCUAUUCCAGAGGGACCGUCAGACACAUUGGAAGGAGACGCACACAUGAUGACUGGGUGGGUAGUGGGGUGAAGGGGCUCUAGUUGACCUAGUUCCCCUAUUCUCUCUUCCCAACAGCCUGUUCACACCCCUCUCUCGCCCUCCAUCCCCUCUGAGCCUCCCCCGGCCCCGUUCUGCUCCUGCGCGCAGACCCCCUCCGACCUCGGGUGACAUAGCACCUUUUGCCAGACCCCAUACCCCUCUGAGUCGCAUCGAUGUCCGGCCUGCCCUGGAUUGGGGCCCCCAACGCCAGACACUCUCUAGGCCCCCCACUCCCCGGAGAGGACCUUCUUCUGAGGCUGGGGGAGGAAGACCCCCCAGGAGUCCCCAGCACUGGAGUCAGGAGGCCAAAACACAGGUCAGCAGAGAGGUAAUGGGGAGGGGGACUACAUUUCCCAUAUGGCUACCGGCUGUCUUUCCAGGCUGGUCUGCGGGCCAUGGCCCCUUGAGCAUCAUGGGGAUUGUGGUUCAGCAUAAUCACUGCUGGGUUCAGAUGUGAGGGAAAGUGAACUUCAUUUCCCAUCAGUCCUCAGGGCUGUCUUUUCGGGCUGGUCUCUGGCCAUUACCCCUUAAGUAUUAUGGGGAUUGUAGUCCAAAAUACUGUCCUCCAAGGCCAUGCUGGGAGAAGCAGUGUGGAUUACAUCUGUCUUGUUUGUGUCUCCAGUUUCUUUCCAAGAUGUUCACUUGCUAUUUUUCUCUGAGCAUCAUGGGAUUGUAGCCCAGAAUAUCUACAGUUCACCAAAGAUGUGAGAGUGAGAGUAGAUUACAACUUCCUUUGGUCCCUGGGGCUGUUUUGCCAGGCUUGUCCCAUUAGUAUCAUCCUAUGUGUCCCCACGGUGGCACAUAGCUGGAGGACAGGUAGUUGAGAAAGUUGUGGGGCUCAGUUCUGAACCUCAGUGAGUCUCCUGAGUCACAUCAAUUCUGGACACAUCCACUCUAAUAUUUGUUACUAAAACAUGCCAAUUUCUAACCAUCUCUGUUUCGAUAUUCCUCCCAGGCCCCCUCUGGGUCCACGUAUCUCCAGCUCCCCCCGAGAGCUCCCGGGACCCGGGCUUCCAUGGUUUUAUUGGUAGGUGUCCUGGAGCACCUUGAAUCUGCCAGAGCCCCCUUCCUUGCUUUCUUUGCUAUGGAGAAUGUCAUCUCCCGGACUUGUGUGCCUAGAGAAGACUGGGUAUUUCCAGGUCCCUUGGCAGACUCUUCUGUUAGUUUCCUAAGACUGUUGCAAACUGGGUGGCAUGCAUAUAGAAUAUCUCUCCAUUCAUUCAUAUCAUCUUCCGGGUAUAUAUUUGAGUUUUAAGUUUUUUUCCGCAGGGAUCUUGUGUGCUCUUAGUUAAGGUAAUUCCUAAAUUCCCGAUAGUUUUUAUAGCUAUUUGAAUGGUAUCUUUUUCUUUUUUCUUUUUUCUUUUUUUAACGUUUAUUCAUUUUUUGAUAGAGAGACAGAGCAUGAGGGGGGGAGGGGCAGAGAGAAAAGGAGACACAGAAUGCAGAGCGGGCUCCAGGCUCUGAACUGGCAGCACAGGGCCCAACGUGGGACUCGAACUCACAGACCGUGAGAUCAUGACCUGAGCUGAAGUUGGACGCUUAACCAACUGAGCCACCCAGGUGCCCCCCGCCGCCUUUUUUUUUUUUUUUUAAAUGUUUUCUAGCUAUGGAUGGUAUAGAGAUAUAUGAUUGAUGUUUGGAACUUCAUCUUUCCUCUGGGAUCCUUUCUGAAUUCUCUUAUUUUAUUUUUAUUUAUUUAUUUAUUUAUUUUAAGUAAUGUCUACACCCAUCGUGGGGCUUGAACUCACAAACCCCAAGAUCAAAAGUCACAUGCUCCACUGAUUGAGCCACUGAAUUCAGGCGCUCCUGAAUUCUCUUAUUCUGAUCACUCUUUGAUUUUGUUGGUUUCUCUGGGUAGGUGAGCAUAUCAUCUGUAAAUAAUAGUGGUUUUACUUUUCCCUUUCCUAUCCUUACACUUCGUUUUGUUUUCUUUUUCUUUUCUAAUAGCAUCGGUCAAGAUCUCUACUAGUGUGUGAAACUGUAACAGUAGUAGUGAGCAUCCUUAUUUUAUUUUCUCUUGUAAAAGAAAUGUCUGUGUGGUGCCUGGGUGGCUCCGUCGGUUGAGCGUCCGACUUCGGCUCAGGUCAUGAUCUCACGGUCUGUGAGUUCCAGCCCUGCAUCGGGCUCUGUGCUGAUGGCUCGGAGCCUGGAGCCUGCCUUGGAUUCUGUGUCUCCCUCUGUUUCUCUGCCCCUUCCCUGCUCGGGCUCUGUCUCUCUCUCUCUCUCUCAAAAGUAAAUAAACAUUUAGGGGCGCCUGGGUGGCGCAGUUGGUUGAGCGUCCGACUUCAGCCAGGUCACGAUCUCGCGGUCCGUGAGUUCGGGCCCCGCAUCAGGCUCUGGGCUGAUGGCUCAGAGCCUGGAGCCUGUUUCCGAUUCUGUGUCUCCCUCUCUCUCUGCCCCUCCCCUGUUCAUGCUCUGUCUCUCUCUGUCCCAAAAAUAAAUAAACGUUGAAAAAAAAAAUUAAAAAAAAAAAAGUAAAUAAACAUUAAAAAAAAAAAGUUUUUAAAUAAAAAAAAAAAAUAAAAAAGGAAUGUCUGAAUUUUCUCCCUGAGUCAUAACAUGGCUAUAGCUGUUUGGUAACAGAGCCCAUUGGAUCUCCCUAAAGCCAAGAAUCUGGCGGUUGGUCUACUGAGGUUUGCUAAAGCUUGGAACAAAGCUAANAAGUUAUUACGCGGUUGAGCGUCCUACUUCGGCUCAGGUCAUGAUCUCACGGUCUGUGAGUUCCAGCCCUGCAUCGGGCUCUGUGCUGAUGGCUCGGAGCCUGGAGCCUGCCUUGGAUUCUGUGUCUCCCUCUGUUUCUCUGCCCCUUCCCUGCUCGGGCUCUGUCUCUCUCUCUCUCUCUCAAAAGUAAAUAAACAUUUAGGGGCGCCUGGGUGGCGCAGUUGGUUGAGCGUCCGACUUCAGCCAGGUCACGAUCUCGCGGUCCGUGAGUUCGGGCCCCGCAUCAGGCUCUGGGCUGAUGGCUCAGAGCCUGGAGCCUGUUUCCGAUUCUGUGUCUCCCUCUCUCUCUGCCCCUCCCCUGUUCAUGCUCUGUCUCUCUCUGUCCCACAAAUAAAUAAACGUUGAAAAAAAAAUUAAAAAAAAAAAGUAAAUAAACAUUAAAAAAAAAAAAGUUUUUAAAUAAAAAAAAAAAUAAAAAAGGAAUGUCUGAAUUUUCUCCCUGAGUCAUAACAUGGCUAUAGCUGUUUGGUAACAGAGCCCAUUGGAUCUCCCUAAAGCCAAGAAUCUGGCGGUUGGUCUACUGAGGUUUGCUAAAGCUUGGAACAAAGCUAAUAAGGAGAAAGGUGUCUGUCAUUAGAAACAGGGCUUGAUUCAGCACUGAGCUACAACAAAGACCUGUCCGUCCAUGUGACCCCUGGCUUUUCUCUUUCUCCUCAGCCGGGUCCCCCCCUAGACUCAGCUUUUCACCAAAGCUUGGAGACAGAUGUAAGUCCCCCCUGGCCCAACCCCUGCCGAGUUCUCAGAGGCGGGAAGAGAACGCUUUAGACGGUGGCGGUGGUGGUGGCCGUGGCCGCAGGGAGGACAGGGGAAGAGCCAGAUCUGGUCCAUAAAUAGCUCCUGUCCUCCUCUUUCCAGACUCUGUUGACCAAGUUGUGUGGGCAGGACCGGCUCCUGAGGAGGCUACAGGAGGAGAUAGACCAGAGGCAAGAGGAGAAGGUAUGAGGCUCUGAAACGGGGGAGGACUCUUGGCCUCUCCACCCAUCUCUCCCUUCCUGAGCCCCAGCGUGCCCCAGGAUUUGGGAGGACACCGUCUCUCUCUCUCUCUGGGGCUGUACGUGGAUUCAGAAGUUGAACCACCUUCCGUCUCGGUGCAGGAGCAGCUAGAAGCAGCCUUGGAGUUGACCAGGCAGCAGCUGAGCCAAACAACCAGGGAGGCCGCGGCUCCAGGGAGGGCCUGGGGGCGCCAGCGCCUCCUGCAGGACCGACUGGUCAGUGUGAGGGCCACUCUGUGUCACCUGACUCAGGUGAGCGUCUAGGAAGGAGCAUGCCCUCCCAGGAGGCCUGAGGACGCUGCUACAAGUUGUCAGUGAAGGGGACCUGCCAGCAGAGACUUAUGGGAAGGUGGUUCUUGAGCAUUCCCCUCUUUCCAGGUUUUAAACCAGUCAUCUUGACGGUCUUAGAGAGUGAGGGGCAAACAGCCAACAAACAGCAGACUUAAUUUAGUGGUUUGAGAGGGUGAAUUUGACAUGGGCUUCCUGGUUUUGAAUCUCAGCUCCUGCUGUGUGACCUUAGAAAAGUUACUUGACCCCUCUGGGCCUUAGAUGCCUCUCUCUCUCUCUCUCUCUUUCUCUCUCUUUUUUUUUUUUUGAGAGAGAGAGAAGAUGAGUAGACAGAGAAGGAGAGAGAGAAUCUUAAGCAGGUUCGACAGCCAGUGCACAGCCUGACCCGGGGCUUCCUUUCACAAACAGUGAGAUCAUGACCCGAACCGAAAUCAAGAGUCAGACGCUCAACCGGCUGAGCCACCCAGUUGCCCCCUCAGAUGCCUCCUCUAUGAACUUGAAAUGAUAAAAAUAGUAUUUAGUACAUACAGUCGUUGUAAAAAUUUCUUAAAUACAUACAAUCUCUAUAUAUAAAUAUAGAGAUUAUAUAUGUUAUAUAUAUAUGUUAUAUAUAUAUAACAUAUAUUAAAUGAGUGAUGAUUUAACACAUAUAUUAUGUAAUAUAUUUUCUAUAUAUAUCAUGUAUAUAUCAUAUAUUUGUGAAUAUUUAAAAGUUAGGUACCUGGUAGAUGGUAAGAAAUAUUUAAAUGUUAGCUAUAAUUAUUGUUAUCUGUAAAAUGGGGACAUUAAUAAUACCUACCUCACAAGAAUUAAAUAAAUGAGAGCUAAGUGUGGUGCCUAGUACAUGGUAAGCACCUAAUAAAUAUUAGCUGUGAUGAUCAUGAUUCUUCCUUGGGGGUGCUUAGAGACCCUGGGGGUCUCUCUCUCUCUGUCUUGACUGUCCCAAGAAUUUAUUAGAUCUGUAGACUCUUCCACCCUAGCGGAGUUCAGAGGUAAUCAGAGAAUUUAGGGAAACCUGUUAUUCGUCUACACUAGCAGCUCAUUGGAAUGGCAGGUUCCUUAUAGACUCUGGGGAAUCCUAGUAGUCUGAGCAAAGGGGCUCUUGGGAAUUUUUGUCCAUAUGUGUCCUUCUCCCCCCCCCCCAAAAUCUGGGCACUGGGGACCAGGCCUUCCUUCCUCCUCCUCGGGCUGGGAAAAAUGGAGUGGGGAAAGAUCUGGUGGGUGGGCGUACUAACCCUGUGUUUCCCUGUUUUGGGCACCUGAGGAGCGAGAGCGGGUUUGGGACACAUACAACAGCCUGGAACAGGAACUGGGCAGCUUGAGAGAGACUCUGGAGUACCUGCUGCACCUUGGUUCCCCCCAGGUAUACAUACCCCUGCCCCAAGACCCCACACUCCACCCUCCGCUCUUUGUCCGCCAUUGAAACCCUUUUGGCAUUUAAGCCCCUCCCACUUCGUUUCAAACUCCUCCCCUUACAUCCUUUCCUUACAUUUUGAACCCUUUAUUGUAGUUAAGACCUUGCCCUUCGUUUUAAGACACACCUGUUUGGAAUCACUCUCUCUUCUGGUUCUAAAUCUCUCCUCUAAUUUUGAAGCCCUGUCCUCUGGUUCAAAAUUUCACCCCUCAGCCCUGCCACAUCCUGUGUCCUGACUUUUGCUGUUUCAUUUAUCCUCCGGAAUUUCUAGUUUCAAAUCCAAUCACUUGGUUCAAGCUUCACUACUUUUUUUUUUUUAAUAUUUAUUUAUUUUUGAGAGGGGGGGGGGGACGGGCAGAGAGAGAGGGAGACACAGAAUCCGGAAGCAGGCUCCAGACUCUGAGCUGCCAGCACAGAGCAUGAUGCGGAGCUUAAACCCACGAAUCGUGAGAUCAUGACCUGAGCUGAAGUCGGAGGCUCACCCAACUGAGCCCCCCAGGCGCCCUAUUUUUUUAAAUGUUUAUUUAUUUUGAGAGAGACAGAGAGCACGAGCAGGGGAAGGACAGAGAGAGGGAGGGAGAGAAUCCCAAGCAGGCUCCAAACUGUUAGUGCAAAGCCCCACUUGGGGCUGGAUCUCACGAACCACGAGAUCACGACCUGAGCUGAAAUUAAGAGUCGGAUGCUUAACUGACUGAGCCACCCAGGUGCCCCUAAAGAUUUUAUUUUUAAGUAAUCGCUACAUCCAACAUGGGGCUUGAACUCACAACCCUGAGAUCAAGAGUCACAUGCUCCUCCAACUGAGACAGCCAGGCUUACCCCCUACCCUACUUCUUCAUUCUAAACCUAAUAAUCAAGUUUCUAGAUCAUAUAUCUUUAGUUUAAAACGUUGACUUCUAGUAUUAAAUGCAUACUCAGAUUUAAGUGCUGCUCUCUGCAUGAUAAACCCUUCCCCCUCCUUCCUAAAAUCCACUCUCACUGCUAAUCCCCCUCCCCACUGGUGUUAAAAAUCACUUGGCACCAGCAGUAUAUGCAAAGAACCAAAUUAGGUUUAUUACAGGAAUUCAAGGUUACUUUAACACUUGAAAAUCAGUCCAUGUAUUUUUGUAAAAAGGAGAAAAGCCUUCAUCUCAAGUCUAGCAAAUAAAGGUAUGAGGAGCAGAGAAAAAGAAGUAAACCUAUUUUUAUUUAUAGAUGACAUGAGUGUAUAUAUGUAGAAAAUCCAAAAUAAUCUCUGGAUAAGCUAGUAGAAUAAACCAAUUCAUCAAGGUCACUGAAUGCGAGGAUAAUACGCAUAAAUCAAUGGUCUUCCUGUAUGUUAGUACCAAAUGAAUAGAGAGUAUUUACAAACAAUAGUGUUUGUAAUUGACAUAAACAAGUAAAAUAUCCAGGAUGAAAUCUAAUGAAAGAUAUGCAAGGCAUCUAUUUGGCACGCCAUAAAACAUCACUGAGAGAAAUUAAAGAAGACUUAUAUAAAUGGAGAGAUAUACCAUGUUCAUGGAUAGGAAAGAUACCAUAAUAUAAAGAUGUAGUCUCUCCAGAUUGAUUUCCCCAGUGGGGAUUUACAAUCCCAGUACAAAUCUGGGAGGUGUCUGUGUAGAGAUUGACAAAAUGACUCUAAAUUGUAUCCAUCAGGGCAAAAGACUAAGAGUAGCCAAGGCAACCUCCAAAAACAAAGCUGGAGGACUAAGGCAAGUGAAUGUCAUGUCUGUCUGCAAAGCUACAGUUAAUAAGACAGUGUACUAAUGUCACAAGUUUAGACAAAUAGACAAAAGGGAUAGAAUAGGAUAUUCAAGAGCAGAUUCACAUAUAUUUAUAUGCUCUCAAACUUAUAAUGGAGAUAACUGCAGAGCAGUAUAGAAAAGACAGUGUUGGGGCGCCUGGGUGGCUGAGUUGCUUAAGCAUCUGACUUCGGCUCAGGUCACGAACUCACAGUUCAUGAGUGCAAGCCCUGCGUCGGGCUCUGUGCUGACAUUUCAGAGCCUGGCGCCUGCUUCAGAUUCUGCCUCUUUCUCUCUCUGCCCCUCCCCUGGUUGCCCUCUUUCUCUCUUUCUCAAAAAUAAACGUUAAAAAAAAAUUUUUUUUAAAAGAGUAGGAUAAAAUUAUCCGCGUAACCUCACUUUGUGCAGAAAUCUCUGUCCCCACCCAUUGCCCUGUUCUCUCCCACUCUCUCUCUCAAAAAUAAAUAAACAUUAAAAAGUUAAAAAAAAAAAGAAAGAAAAGCCAGUGUUUGUGAUAAAUUGUGAUGGGUCAAAGGGAUAUCUGUAUGGAAAUGGAUAUCCACAAAUAGAGCCUCCACAUGCAUACAUCAUGCGUUUAUGACUCCAUAAAUACAGCCUCGCUGAUUUCAGACCCAUCUUUAACCCUCCUGGUAUUUUCCCACCUUUUGAGUAGCGGAUUUCUCUCCUCCCCCCCCCCCCCCCCCAGGACAGAGCAUCUGCUCAGCAGCAACUAUGGAUGGUGGAAGACACGCUGGCAGGUCUGGGGGGCCCCCAGAAACCACCACCCAACGCUGAACCUGACUCCCCAUCCCCUGCACUCCAAGGCGAGGAGUCCUCAGAGAGGGAGGUGAGACGCACAAGCCUCUCUCCCCGCCCCCAGCUCCCUGUCCCAUCUGCCCUGGCCCAACUCAUCACCCACUCCCCUUUUUCUCUCUCCCUUUCUUUCUCUCAGCUAAGCACCCCAGGCAAGUAUCCUAGGCUCUGGAAGUAUCUAGGAUACUGUGCUGAUCAGCAGAGAGCCCUACAUGGGGCUCGAACUCAUGAACCGUGAGAUCAUGACCUGAGCCCAAGUCAGACCCUUAACCUACUGAGCCACCCAAGCACCCCUCCCCUUAUGUUGAAUAGGGAUAAUAAUUGCCACCUUGCAGGAGGGGAUUCAAUGAGAUAAUGCGAAUAAAGUGCUUAUCACAGCGCCAGAUGCAUAAUCAGUAUAAAACCUUGCACUGAAAAUGCCUUGCUAUGUGCCAGGCACUGUUCUAAGUGCCUUACAUGCCUGGAUUCAAUCUUCAGACAUGGAUUCAAAGGUGAAAUAUGGCCCAGAGAGGGAAAGUAACUUGAAGAAGGUUGCCCAGCUCCUAGGUGGCAGAGCUGAGAUGUGAAACUAGGACGUCUGGCUCCUGGUUUUCAGUCUUAACUCCUACUCAUGCUGUGUCUUGAUGGCCGAGUGCCUGAAAAAUGACAAUGAUAAGCAUUAUUCUCCUUUCCCGACCGUGCCAGAGCCUGCCUGAGUCCUUGGAGCUGAGCUCAUCCAGGUCCCCUGAGGCUGACUGGGGGCGGCCGCCCGGGGGCGACAGAGACCUCCCCAGCCCUCGCUCAGGUGAGUGUCCUGGCCCGGGUGGGACUUGCUUGGCAUUUCCUGUCCUCACCAAGUCCCGUUCUGUCCUCCCAGGUCUUGGAUCUCCGAGGGUCUCCCGGGCCUCCAGCCCUGAGAGUCGUCGUCCUGUUUCCCCACCGCCAGGAACCAAGGUAGGCAGCCCAUCUAGCCUCCUCGGGUCCAUCUUGUAACCCUUUAAUCUGACCACCCCACACUCUGGGGAGACAGCUGCGAGAAAGGAGUUCUAGGGCCACACCCCAGAGCAGAGAGAGAGACUGGCUGAGUGUUGGGAUUGAAUUCUGUCUCUGCUGCUUCUAAGCUGUGUGACUUCGGGUCAGUUAUUAAACCUCUCUGCCUCUAUGUUCUCAUCUGCAAAACAGAGCUAAUAGGAGUACCUACCGCCUAGAGCUGAUGUGAGUAUUCAAACUAAGCGAAUGCCCACUAGGUUGAAAAUAGUGCCUAGAUGUAGUAUCUCAUUCAUUCAUUCAACAAAUAUUUAUUAAAUAUCCCUUUGGCUGUCCAAUAAGGUAGCCAGUCGCCACAUGUGAUUAUUUAAGCCUAAAUGAAUUAUAAUUUGGGGCACCUGGGUGGCUGAACUCUGUUAAGCAUCCGACUCUUGAUUUCGGCCCAGGUCAUGAUCUCACGGUGCGUGAGUUCCAGCCCUGCAUCAGGCUUUGCAUUGACUGCACGGAGCCUGCUUGGGAUUCUCUCUCCUUCUCUCUCUGCCCCUCCUCCUCCUCUGUCUCUCAAAAAUAAAUAAGUAAACACUUAAAAGAAAUCAAUGAAUUAAAACGAGGGGAAGGGGCGCCUGGGUGGCGCAGUCGGUUGAGCGUCCGACUUCAGCCGGGUCACGAUCUCGCGGUCCGUGAGUUCGAGCCCCGUGUCAGGCUCUGGGCUGAUGGCUCGGAGCCUGGAGCCUGUUUCCGAUUCUGUGUCUCCCUCUCUCUCUGCCCCUCCCCCGUUCAUGCUCUGUCUCUCUCUGUCCCCCCCCCCAAAAAAAAAAGUUGGAAAAAAAAUCUUUAAAAAAAUUAACUAGGGGCGCCUGGGUGGCUCAGUCGGUUAAGCGGCCGACUUCAGCUCAGGUCAUGAUCUCUCGGUCUGUGAGUUCGAGCCCCGCGUCGGGCUCUGUGCUGACAGCUCAGAGCCUGGAGCCUGUUUCAGAUUCUGUGUCUCCCUCUCUCUGACCCUCCCCCAUUCAUGCUCUGUCUCUCUGUCUCAAAAAUAAAUAAAUGUUAAAAAAAAUUAAAAAAAAAUGAACUAAAAUGAAGUAAAAUGAAAAAAUUCACUUGCACUCACUGCAUUUCAAAUUCUUAGGAGCCACACUUGGCCAGAGGCUACCCUGUUGGACAGGGCAGAUACAAAACAUUGCCACCAUCACAGAAAGUUCUAUUGCACAGAGCUGUUCAGGCGCUGAGGGCACACACGUGAACAGAACGAGGAAAAAAAAAAUCCUUCCCUCAGGAGUCUGACAUUCUAGUGGGAAGAGGCAGAUUAUAAUUUACUGUACAUUAUUUUAUACGUCAUAAGUGCUGAAGAGGUAAAAGCAGAAGGUCUGGAAUGCCGGAAGAAGGGGUGCAAUUGUAAAUGGCUUGGUCUAGGGUAAGCCUCAUGCAAAGGUGACGCUUGUGCAGCUACCUGAAGGAGGUGAGGGAGCGAGCCUUGGGGAUAUCUGGUGGAAAAGCGUUACAGGCAAGGGGAACAGCCUUUGCAGAGGCUCUGGGGCAGGACUGGGCCUGCGGUGCUGCGGAAGCAGGUAGAAAGUCAGUGUGUCUGGAACCGAGUAAGCCAGCGAGGGGGAGAGGGGUAGAGGGCAGGAGACACGGGCCAAGGGCGUGGAUCGCGCAUGCGUGGUCCUGUGGCCCUAGGUGAGCCCGGAGCCCUGGAGGGUUCUGAGCUGCCCGAAGCGGAAACCGGCGCCCUCUGACGGCCGUGCGGGGAACAAGCCGCAGGGCGAGCGCUGAGGCCGGGACCCAGUGAGGACAGUCCAGGCAGGAGAUAACGGUCAUUUCCACUAGCUUAGAAGGAGUGGAGCUGUUGAGAGGGAGGCAGAUUCUUGUUACACCGGUUUUAUCCAAAACUCUCGGGACCAGAUGUAAUUCAAAAUGCAAACAUUUGCAGAUUCCAGGCUGGUAAUAUGCAUACACUGUGUAUUCUAUAAUAUCCCCCCAACAGCGCCACCCUUAAUCAAACACGUUACAUUUCUCUAGCAAAAUGUAUGAAUGUUCAUACUUAAACGGGAUUUGGUUUAUAAAUAACGUCUGAAUUUAAAUGUCAAGUUUUUAAAAAUAUAGCAACGAACAACCAAAUGAUCGAUUGAGUUCCGUGGAAUAAAAAUUGAUUAUAGGGGCCCCUGGGUGGCUCAGUCGGUUGAGCGUCCGGCUUCAGCUCAGGUCCUGAUCUCACAGUCCGUGGGUUCGAGCCCCGCGUCGGGCUCUGUGCCGACAGCUCGGAGCCUGGAGCCCACUUCACAUUCUGUGUCUCCCUCUCUCUCUGCCCCUCCCGGGCUCCCAUUCUGUCUGUCUGUCUCUCUCUCUCUCUCUCUCUCUCUCUCUCUCAAAAAUGAAUAAACAUUGAAAAAAAUUUUAAAAAUUGAUUAUAAAUACCAGGCACUUUUUUUUUUUUAAUGUUUUAUUUAUUUUUGACAGAGAGGGAGAGAGAGAGACAGAGCAUGAGCGGGGGAGGGGCAGAGAGAGAGGGAGACACAGAAUCGGAAGCAGGCUCCAGGCUCUGAGCCGUCAGCCCAGAGCCCGACAUGGGGCUGGAACUCACAAACCGCGAGAUCAUGACCUGAGCCAAAGUCUGUCACUUAACCGACUAAGCCGCCUAGGGGCCCCAAACGUUUAUUUAUUUUUGAGAGAGAGAGAGAGAGAGAGAGAGAGAGUAAGAGUAUGAGUGGGGGAGGAGCAGAGAGAGAGGGAGACACAAAAUCCAAAGCAGGCUCCAGGCUCUGAGCUGUCAGCACCGAGCCUGACGCGGGGCUUGAACCUACAAACCACAAGAUCAUGACCUGAGCCGAAGUUGGCCACUUAACCGACUGAGCCUCCCAGGCGCCCCUGGGGUGUCUCAUCUUAAUUGAGCAAAUCGGUUGGGAUCUCUUGGUCACUUAAUAAAUCCACACAGUUGAAGGUCAGCAAUGAACUGUGUAAGGGCUGAGGGCAGGCCUCCCCAAGAUGGGCCACUUUAGCAUGAAGAUUAUUCUGAGCUAAAGGCAAUCGAGACCCUGGGGGCCCAAGAGAAACAUUGGUGCCUCCCUUAACUACAUAGAAAAAUCGAAAUCGGAGCUCUUUCCCAGAAUUAGGGUUAUUGGCUGAGAUAAGUUUUAUCUGAGUGGCCCAUCUGUAUGGCUGGACAACCAUCUCAUUACCAAAUAUCUCCUCCUCUUCUCGUCUCUCUGUGAAGUGCGUCCCUUCCCUCUAGAGUCCCAGGCCCCUACCCCCUUGUCCUUGGUUCGGAAUGAUAUGCAUACCUCAUUUUGCCUGACUACCUCUGGAAUCUCCACGUUCCUGCGGACUCCCCGUGCGUCCGCUGUUACAUUUGGAUUUCUCCGCUUAAUCUGUCUUGUGUGAAUUUGAUUCUUGGUCCGGCUGGACGGACGCUUGAAGGGGCUGGGGAUUCUUGCUCCCUGAGAACUGACCACGUAUUUCGUCUUUUUCUCCACCCCCAAUGUGGGGCUCGAACUCACCAUCUUGAGAUCAGAGUUGCCCGGUCUUUGGACUGAAUUCACCAGCCAGGGCGCCCCUGCAGGGCCAUUUGAAACAUUCUCGGAGCCCUAAAUCUGUGCUUGGAUUUUUCUUCUGAGCCCUUAGAAGUCACAGAUAUUUCUUUUUUUCUUUACUUUUCUUUUCUUUGUAAGUUUAUCCAUUUAUUUUGAGAGAGAGAGAGAGAGAGCAGGAGCGCGAGCGGGGGAGGGACAGAGAGAGGGAGAGAGAGAGAGAAUCCCAAGCAGGCUCCACACCCAGGACAGAGUCUGACACGGGGCUCAAUCUCACUAACUGUGAGAUCAUGAUCUGAGCCAAAAUCGUCGGUCGCUCGACCAACUGAGCCACCCAGGUGCCCGUUACCAAUAUUUCUGUUGCUUCUUUUCACCGUAACCCACGGGGCCGUCUUUGGCUCCUUUGUUUAUCUUGGAGAUCAGUUUAAACCAAAAGGCAUAAAUAACGAAAAGCAAGAAAGUAGCCACGGAUGGCAGGGGCCCGCAUGACAGAGGAUGUGCUGAGACUCAGGUGACGAUGCUGUACGUCAUAAUACCAGGUGGAUAUCGGCACCAAGUUUAAGAAAACGUGUCCGUUUUUAGGUUUUUUGGGUUUUUGGGGUUUUUUUUGUUUUUUGUUUUUUGUUUUGUUUUUUUUUUUGCUGUGGCAGGGGAGGGAGGGGGGAAGUAGAAUUGCGCAUAGGAGAUUUUUGGAACUGAUCUGGAAGGUGGAGCCAGUAAGAUUUCUUGGCACAUUACAGGUAGGGUAUGAGGAGUCGGGGAGUGACGAUUGGGUCCUUGGCCUGGGCCUCUGGGGCAGUGCAGUUACCAUGCAGGAGAUGGUGGAGGGAAGGUGAGGAAUCCAGGUUUGAAUAUGCUGAUUAAUUUCGAGCUUCAAGUUUGAGAUUAUUCAAGUCAUCGGGGCUGUUGUGGGCCCUGGGCUCGUGUGUACUGGGUUUCGCUGGACGCUCUGAUUGCUGAGCUGAAUCAGGCCACAUCUCAGGCUUUGGAGAGCCUCAGACGGGAUCACGAUGAGAAGAGAGGGAGGCGUGUGCGUGGUGCAAUGGCAAUAGCUCAGGGGCUCUGGGGGACACCAGCGGGCAGCUCCCAGACUCAGCCUAGGCGUGUUGCGGGACGGUUUCCUGGAGGUAGAGAGACCUUCAAGAGUAGGUUAGAAUUUACCAAAUGGGGAAUUUACUAGGGAAACAGCUGGUGCAAAUGUUUCUAAAGCCAGCAUCUCUGCUAGCCUACAGGAAGCCUUUUUGUGAGUUCGGAGACAGGCACGCACCCCCUCUGGGAGGGCAGAGCAUGACUUGGUCGGUGGAGGGCUCAGCCCUUGGGCAGUGAGCAACACAUACAUCUGUACAGGGCCGCUCAGGAGCCCAGAACUCUGGCCUCCAGAACCCCAUCCGCCAACUGCAGGGUGGUCCAAUUCAGAGCAACGAACAUCUCCUGUGGGAGAAGUCCCUCACAGCGUGGGACACUCCAGAGGUCACUGCCUGGAGGUCAUGGCCCAGAAGCUCGGAUGGUAUGUCUCCGGGUCAGAGAGCUCUGCUUGGGGUCUUAUAGCUGCAGCUUUGUUGUGUCUUAUCUGUGGCUGGCUCCCUGUAUGUGUCUGUGUCCACACGGCCCCCUUUCCUUAAGGACACAUGUCUGCGGCUGGAGAGCCCCGUCUACCUGUCUCCUGCCCGGAGCAGCUGACAAGUCCCGACAGCCUUCCUGCAUCUCAGUCCCUCUCUGUCCCCUCCGGUUCAAGCUGGCAGUGUUCCUGCUGAGAUGAUUUCCUGGAUCCCAUGUCACAUGCCUAAUCUCUUAGCAAACGGGUUGUCUGGCCACACCCUUGGGGUUCUCUCCAGACUUCUGGUUUCUUUUUAGCGCACUUUUCUCCUCCCCCCCCCCGCCUUUGAUUUAGCUCUGUCCUCUUGCGUUGUUUUUUUUUUUUAAUUUUUUUUUAAUGAUUUUACUUAUUUUUGAGCAGAGCAUGAGUGGGGGAGGGGCAGAGAGAGAGAGGGAGACACAGAAUCCGAAGCAGGCUCCAGGCUCUGAACUGUCAGCACAGAGCCCGUCGCGGGGCUCGAACUCACAGACUGCGGGAUCUCGACCUGAGCCGAAGUCGGACGCUUAACCGGCUGAGCCACCCAGGCGCCCCUGUCCUCUUGCGUUUUAAGCUCUUCAGGCUAGAAGCCCAUGAUCAAGGUGUGAGCAGGGCCGUGUUCCCUCUGAAGGUGCCAGGAUCUGUUUGAGGCCCCUGUCCUAGCUUCUGCUGGUUCCUUGGCUUGUGGGGGCCGACUCCAGUUAUACGAGGCAUUUUCCCUGUGUGUGUUGUUCAUCUGGUUUUGACGGCCAGAGAGAGCUCCCCAAAUCCUUUCAAAGGCCAACCCAAGUCGAUCCUCUUGACAAUUUAGUUAAUGCAUCUCCUUCUUGGGGCGCCUGGGUGGUUCAUGUUGAGCGUCUGACUCUAGGUUUCGGCUCAGGUCAUGAUCUCAUGGUUCAUGGGAUCGAGCCCCACAUUGGGCUCUGCACUGACAGCACAGAACCCACUUGGGAUUCUCUUUCUCCUCUCUCUCUGGCCCUCCCCCAACUUGUUCACUCUCUCUCUCAAAGUAAAUAAGCAUUAAAAAAAAUUUUUUUUUGUUUUUAAAUACAUCUCAUUCUUCUUUUUGUUGUCUCUAAGUUGACUCAAGAGUUGUUUCUUGGGGUGCCUGGGUGGCUCAGCUGGUUAAGCGUCUGACUUCAGCUCAGGUCGUAAACAUGCGGUUCGUGAGUUCAAGCGCCACGUCAGGCUCUGUGCUGAUGGCUCAGAGCCUGGACCCUGCUUCGGAUUCUGUGUCUCCCUCUCUCUCUGUUCCUCCCCUACUUGCACUGUGUGUGUGUGUCUCUCUCUCUCUCUCUCAAAAAUAAGUAAAGACUGGGGCGCCUGGGUGGCUCAGUUGGUUAGGCAUCCGACUUCGGCUCGGGUCAUGAUCUUGAGGUCCGUGAGUUAGAGGCCUGUGUUGGGCCCUGUGCUGACAGCUCAGAGCCUGGAGCCUGCUUUGGAUUCUGUGUCUCCCUCUCUCUCUGCCCCUCCCCAGCUUGGACUCUGUCUCUCUCUCUCUCUCUCUCAAAAAUAAAUAAACACUAAAAAAAUAAUAAAUAGAUAAACAAAUAAAUAAAGAGUAAAAACAAAACAAAACAGGGGCGCCUGGGUGGCGCAGUCGGUUGAGCGUCCGACUUCAGCCAGGUCACGAUCUCGCGGUCCGUGAGUUCGAGCCCCGCGUCGGGCUCUGGGCUGAUGGCUCGGAGCCUGGAGCCUGUUUCCGAUUCUGUGUCUCCCUCUCUCUCUGCCCCUCCCCCAUUCAUGCUCUGUCUCUCGCUGUCCCAAAAAUAAAUAAACGUUGAAAAAAAAAAUUUUUUUUAAAAAAAAUAAAAAACAAAACAAAACAAAACAAAACAAAAACAAAAAAGCCCAGAAUCUCGACUACUCAUGCAGAGAAGCUGGAUAUGUCCAGGAAGUGUGGGUGCUUGUCGGGCUGGGGGUUUGGAUUCAAACAGGGCAACUGAUGGAACUGAGGCCAGAGAGGCCGGUUGGGCCUUAAACAUCCUGAGGGUGCUCAGAGCUGCGGGAGGACAAAGUCUGCUCUCGGCGUAGAAAGAUCGCCCUGAAUCUGGUGGGGACCUUAACGGGAGAGGGCAAGACUGGAGGCCGAGAGAGGUUCAGGGAAGAGAUUAAGGGGAGCACCAAGGUUGGGGCCUCAAGCGUUCCUCGUCUCCCCAGGCCCCCCUCGCCCGGCCUCGGAUGAGUGCCCAAGAGCAGAUGGAGAGAAUACGCAGAAACCAGGAGUUUGGACGGCCUCUCCCUCGCCCUGCUUCCCCCCGGCACCUCACUCUGGGGAGAACACUGUCCCCAGCCAGACGCCAGCCUGACAGAGAACAAAGGGUGAGGGGAAGAACAGAGGGCGCAAGGUGGGGUGGUAACGGAUCCUCUCCUUCAAGUUUGAGGCUCAGUUUCCUUCUCUGUAAAAUGGGGAUUUCUCUCCCGCUUUACCCAGAACUGGGUUUCCAGACUCACCCCUGAUCUGUGUGCCCAUGUGAUGGCUCCCCUAGUGGGGUGGGGGUGCGGCAGGGGAGGCAGAGACAGUGUCGCUUCACCAGUGUUGUUCUUCCUUCAGAAUGGGGGGUCACAGGUCUCGACUGUGGACCCAGCUUUUCUUUUUUAGUUCCUCUGUGUGAUCAAAGCCGGGGUGGGGGGGGGCGGGGGUUGGGGAGGGAAGUGAGCAAGUAAGAAGAUGAUUAUAUUCAUACUGUUGCAAUGGGGAGAGCAUUCCAGAGCUGAAGAUACGAUCAGCACGAUGUGUGUGAGACUUUUCUAGGAGGAAUUAGACAAGUCCUAGGUGGGUCAUUUUACAGCUGGGAUUGUUUUUGUAAUCAGAAGGUGUCUCAGCCAGACACCAACAGCUCAGGGGUGUUAGAGGGGGUUAGAGGGGACCAACAGCUCAGCUACUCCAUUAUGAGGCGUAAAUUGUGAAUUUGGAGGGUCUGUUUCUGGCCUUGUCUUGUCAUAGGUGAACAAGAGGGUGGUCAUUUGUCAGUCUUAUGUAGGUCAUAUGGAGAAGGGUGCUUUGCAGUAAGCCAUUUCCCCGAAUGCAAAUGGCUGGGGGGGGGGUACUUUCUUAACCCUUGCUUUUUUCCAGGAGUGCAUGUAAAGUUAAACAUUGUCAGUGUCUCUGGGGCAAUUUCAUUCCCUCUCUGAGCCCCCUUCAUUUCACCCUCAAAAUCAGACCAUGAGGACUUCCAGGUGAGGAAUUUUAAUGCCCCGAUUCCUUUGCAGCCUGUCCAGGGACACUCAGGAGCCCCCAAAUGGCUCAGAAGCUCUGGAUCCUGGAGCAGGUAAGGAAGUGGAAAGUGAGGCAGGAAGCAGAAAAUCAAUUUGCCAAAGGCUGCUUGCUGUCUCUUGAGUACUAAGAUAUACAGACUGCAGAAGCUUUUAGAGAUGCUUGAAUUCCUGGGCCACCAGAAAGGCCAGGAUCCGCAGUGAGAACUGGAGUUUCCCAAACUGCAGAACUGGAUCGAUAUGAAACUCCUUUUCUCUGUUAGGAAAGCGGGUGAAAUUUAACAAGGAAUAGACUAUGAAUCCCAUAAUGCAAGCUCUGUUUAAAGUCCUUUAGAGACAUGUGCUAGGGACUACGACUCCUGGGAGGACAUGCAUGGCCCUGUGGUACUGGCUAAUUGUAGACGCCCCCCCAAAUCUCUUUUUUUCUAGUCCGAGGACCACCACCCCUUAUUUGCCAACAUCCGAAGGUCACCGGGAGAGAGUCCUCAGCCUCUCUCAAGCUCUGGCCACCGAGGCAUCGCAGUGGCACAGAAUGAUGACAGGUGAGGAGGGGCUGGGGAUCUUGGACUCCUGGGUUUUAGGGAAGAGGGAGCCAGACAGAGCCUGGAAUCCUUGGUGCAGGUCGGGAGGGGUCUGAGAGCUGCUGGAAAUCCUUUGUCUUGAUGAGUAAAGUGCCCUUGAGGGCUCCGAAGUUCCAGAUCCCAGGAAGGAGGGGACAGGAUUUCAGGACUCCUGGGUCUGGGGGAGGAGGGGGUUGGGGCCAGACCUGUGGGUCUGAGGGAGGAGAGGGUGGGGACUGGAAUCCUGGGUCUAAGAGGAAAGGCCUGGGGGUCUGGACUCCUGUGUCCCAAAGUUUGUCAUUUUCAUCCCCCCAAUCGUGCUAUGCAGGUGGACAUUUGGACUCCCGAGGAGACCCUCUUCCCCCCGCGCCACCGCCUCCGUCAGAUCCCACCCCCCAGGUGACCUCGCCCCCGAGGUCUCCAGUGGCUAAUUCCAGUAAUUCCAGCUCUGCUGGGUGCUCCCACCGGGGUAGUGGGCGUGGCGCAGGCCCCGCCUCUUGGGAGCCCACGUGGGAAUCCGGGACCGCCCCUCCCGCCCUGACCCAAGAAGAGGGGGCGUGGCCUCUGCGGGUCACUCUGCUGCAGUCCAGCUUCUGACCUGCCCCACGCGAGCGCCGCAGCCAAUCGGGACGUGAGGGCGUGGCCUCGAGGUACCGCCCGGAGAUCUGGAGCCACUCAGGGCGCAGUGGGGGCGUGGUCUGGUCUCCAUGGUGGCCUGAGGAGAAGUGUAUAUCGCCAAAGUUUGAUUUUUCCCAAUGCUUGUCCAAAUGCGGAUUAAAACUUUGAACUUUUAGUCAAUAGCUUUCUCUCUGUCUGUUUGGGGUUGUGACACUGGGGUCUCUUAGGGGCAGAGCUGGAGUCGUGGACUCCAGCGUCCCGAGGAGUGAAGAGAGCAG